GAUUCCCCAGAGGGCCACAAGCACAGCUGCAGCCAGCCCUGGGCCAUCUACCUCUUGGGCCAUGGACUCGGAGGACACCAUGUGUCCACCAGCUUGUGGACUCCAGCCAGGGGCCAUAGGAAACUCAGCAGAGGAUUCAAGGCAGAGAGAAGUGGCAGUAUCUUUCCGCAGGAUUUUCUCUUGCAGAAAGAGCUGCAUCCUUUCCUGUGCCAGGGCCAAGGGCAGUUGGGACUGAAUAGCACUGGCUGGGGAGUGGGGACAUCGUGCCAGAGCCCUUUUGCCAAAAUUCCUCCAAAUAGGAUGACAUCGCCCGAAAUGUCACUUGUAGCAGACAGCAGCAUCCAGAAGAAUGAAACCCAUAGUGGUUGCUGUGAGAUGUAACAGUGGGACCAGACGAUGAAAUGGACCGAUGACGGGUUUCACUCUCAGCAUAAUGCCAUGAAAGGAACAGAGUCUUCAGAAUCACUGACUCUUAAGCUAGAGGACCUCCUUGUUAGUCUUCUGGAAUAAUAUAAAACCGACCUACAGCCCACGCCACAGGCCUCGGUGAAAAGGAAAGAGGGCAAUUGUUUGGGACCCUGAAGAGUAGGAUGGUGACCCAGCCCCACCUCCUCAGGUCAGGGGACAAGGACAGAACAGUGCUGGCAGAUGACUUCUGGAAUGUCAUCCUUUGUCAUUCUCCAUGCCCAAACACAUGACAGUGCAGCCCACGGAAGGCUGUAGACUGCAGGCCAAGCCUGUGGUCUGGGUAGGAGCUUCUCAUGGUUUACUUUCCUAUUUCAUUUUAGGAGAGUAAAACUUGGGUCAAGAGACUGAAUUGUUUUUAUAUUUUGCAUCAAUGUUUUAAAUAUCAUUGAUUCAAAUGUGUCCAAUCUGAGAAAUGUUAAGGAGAAACGUAAGGGCCCCUCGCCCAUCAGCUUGAGAGAGGAGCUCGGUGUUGAUGGGGAAGGAUUUUCCCGACCACGUCAGGUAAUGUGUUGUCACAAGAGAACACCUGAUCCUGAAAGCUUCGGCAGACAAAGGUUGUGGUGAGCAGAAAGGGGAAGACCUGAGCUCAUUGAGAAAUUUCUGCGUGGCUCCUUGGCUGGAGCUCGCCAUCCUUCACACAUCAGCCAGAAGGACCUUGCGGAGAUCCCAACUCUAUCCCUCUGGCCUCCCAUCUGAAUCACGCCAAGCCUAGAUCCUAACAAGGCCCAGGAAGUCCAGUGGGUGCAGCGCCUGCCCCCUCCCCAGCCUGGUCCUCACCAGUUCCAUCCGCCUCCCAGCCCUCCUCCCGUGCUCGGAGCGCUCCCAGCCCCAAGGCCUUCUCCUCUCCCACCACACCUGCCUCCUGCUGACCCCUCCAGAGAUUUCAGCUCCACAGCUGAGGAUCACAGUCGCUCUGGCGCUGUCCCUCCCCUUUCCUUGGCUUGCCACGGGAAUCUAGGUACCUGCAGCCCUGUGAUUGCCAUCUGCCUCUGCCGGGCAGCUGCACACUCUGAGGGCAGGAAUGGGUUUGUGCAGCUCAUCCUAACCCCCCAGGUCCAGAGUAAAACCUGGCAUGCAGUAGGUGCUUCAGAGGUGCUACGUGAGUGAAUAAACGAUGAGUGAGGGAAGGAAGGGAGGGAGGAAGGAAGGAAGGGAGGGAGGGAGGCCCACUUGGUCCGUGAGCAAGUUCUGCUCCCUUCCUUCCCCAUCCUCCUAAGAGUCUGGCUCCCGUGCCUCAUUCUGGAGGAGGCAUCGGCUCCAGGAUGACUCUGACUCCCGAAGUCUGAAGCCCUGCUGCCAAAUCUCUCAGCUUUCAUGUGUUCACGUGAGACCUUGGGAAUUCCUUCCAAAUUCGGUUUUGUCAUCUGUAAUACAGAAUCAUACCAUUCCUCACUCACUGAGUUGUGAGCGGUGACUAAGAUGCACUCAGCUGUGUGGAGAAGCAGUGCUGAGCAACAUUUAUUGGCAUCUACUAUACACUGGCACUGCUGUAAGUCUUCUAAAUGCAUCUUCCCAUUUGAGUUUCCCAACAGCCUCAUGAGCCAGGGAACCAUAUCUGCCUCACCUUGCAAAUGAGGAAACUGAGGCACAGGGUCAGAAUAGCACGAUUGUGCACACCACUGAGUGGCAACUCUGCCCAUCUGCUGCCAAGCCCACACACUGGGUGGCCACCCUGGCUGCCUUGCUCUUGGGGAAGGAGAGACGGAGGAUAGACAGACUGAAGGGGCAGGUCAGUCAGUAGGUACGAUGUUAGUGUUUAACAGGAGGAAUGCAUUCUGGGGUUCCAUGGCAUAGCAGGAUAAAUAGAACUAGCAAUAAUGCAUUAUAGCUCAAAAUAGACAGAAACUGGCAUGUUCUCAUCAUAAAGACAUGUUGACCACCUAAGGUGCUGGGCAUGCUAAUUAUCUGGAGUUGAUUACUACUCAAAACACGCAUGAAUCAGAACAUAACAUUAUACCUGAUAAACAAGUCCAAAUAUUAUGUGUCGAUCAAACAAUACUUCUAAAACAAUUUGUGUUGCUCAGGCCAGUUCUUUAUGUUCUGUGGCGGUUAAACAAGUAUCAAGUGGAGAAAGUCCAGUGUAUAGUUAUCCAAAAUGGUAAGUGGCCAGAUCUAAUUUACCAAAUGUUAUCCUUAAACUAUAACUCCCAGUCACUUCUCGUAUAAAGGUUUAAUAAACUCUGGAAUUCAGGGCCAUUUGCCCUUGCAGCAAGAUUUAUAUUUCCAUAGACUAUGAAGGGUGACAUAGUAGCUGAGAUACCGGAUAUCACUCCUGGAAAUUAUUUCUCAUCUCCUCAUUUCAUGACUCCUUCACUGUGAAAUAUGGAAGGAGAAGAAAAGCACAGUGCCGAGAAUGUUAUACACACACACAAUAGAUGGGAGCUGUCGUUACUUUUACCUUGAUUUUAUUUUGCUGUAUAUUUUAAAAAGAAUGAGAAAAUGAGGAAUUUUUGUUAUGCCAACCUCACCCUAAGAACACUUUGCUUUUUUUCUGGCCUUAGAGAUGAAGGACUCAUUUAGACUUAGGAAGUCAGGAGUUCGGAGAGGAGAUAAUGUCUUCAUGCAAGCAUACGUAAAUAAAUCCUGGUUAACUGCUAUUGGAUUUACAUUUAUCAUUUUCCUAACUGGGUCCAUUUUUAGUUUUCUAGAAUAAAAAAAUAAACGGCCAAAGGUUUAGCUUAAAUCUAUUUAGAAUAAUACGGACUUUUUUUUUUAACUUUUAAAAAAAAAUCACAUGAGAUUCAUCUUUCUCUAGUAAGGGGCUGUCUUUCUGGUGGUUUCUGGUAGAAUUACUGCCUUCCAUUGUGGUUAGAAAGGAAACAGUUGGAGCCUCUUGUAGUCUGUUUUAUGCUGCGAUAACAGAGUAGGUGAUUCACAGACUUAGGACUAGCGGUUCUGAAGGCUGGGAAGGCCAGGGUUGAUGGGCUGCAUCUGGUAGAGCGUCCUUGCUGCGUCAUAUCCUGCAGGAGGCACCACGGGGUGAGAUGGAGGGAGAGAGACCAAGCUCCCAGCCUCCUGCCCUUUCCACACAGCAUUAACCCAUUUAUGAGCGUGGAUUCCUCGUGUGUCCUUAUCUUGCCCCAGUGGGUCCCACUUACCAUCUCUGCUGUUUGGGAGAUCAAGUUUCCAAGACAUGGUUUUCUGGGAGGACACACUCAAACCCUAAUAGAGCCCAUUUCAGAUCUUCCUCCACACAUUUAAUCGCAUUCUAUUUCAGCUCAAAGCUCACUUCAUUAAUAUAAGUGAAAACAAUAGAAAUUCACAACAAUAUUGUGAAGCACCUAUUUUGGGCAUUAGGAAAUAUCUCUGAGAGUGUCAUCCACAGGAGUAUUUUCUCUUUCAUUCCAGCACCUGUUUAUCAUUGACAAACCUCGCUGGGUACAUUGUACCCAGCUAGACCUGUGCCAAACAUUGGUUGCAGAAGGAUGUGUAAGGAGCCCUGUCCCUGGGAGGAGUCAGCCUCUGAGACAGUCUCAGGAAUGCCCACCUCCUGAUGUCCACAUCCUGCAGGCUCUGCCCCACAUACAGCGGGGUUGUCAGUGGAGCACAGAAUAGCAUGGACGUGAUGGCAUCUCACUCUGAGGUCCAGGUUGUUAAAGGCAUGGCAGCCUCUGCCUUGCUGUCUUAGGAAGCCACUGCCACACUGCCCUGGGAAGUGUGCACAAGGUGAGGAUCAGAGAGGGAUUGAGAAAUUGUCUGCCACAGUCCUGAGUGAGCAUGGAAACAGCUUCUCCAGCCCUGGCCUUCCGAUUCUUGCAACCCUAGUUAAAGGCUCAGAUGCUCCAGGCCAGGCCCACUCUGCUGAGCUGCUCUCAGAUUCCUGGCCCUCAGGAACCAUGGGAAAUAAUCGAUGCUUUUUUGUGUUAAGGUGUUGAGUUUUGGAGUAAUUUGUUACGCAGCAACAGCUGACUGACUCAAGGGGGUGAUUUAGUUGAGAAAGUGGACCACACAUUUAGAGAAAAAAUACAUAAACAAUGCUUCAAACAAGUAGCAGAGAUCAGAGGUGAUCAAUAUUCAGGGGAGAGAGAGAAAGAAAAGAGACAGAAAGAGAGAGAGAGAUCUAUAGCAUGGGAAGGCAACCCAAAGGUCCACCUAGGAGCUUGCUUCUUACAAGGUCUAUUCAAACAAACCUCUUUUAUCCUUCUCUAAUCUCAGCUGUCACCCUGGUCAGGAUUCUUGCCAACAGGGCUGUUUCCCUGAUAUCCUUCCUCUGGCAUGGACAUCCUGGUUGCAGACAGAUGGAAAUACAUGUGUGCUAUUAGCGCCUGCUGGUGUUCAGGGCUCUCAGCUAUCCCCCACUCACCUCUACCCAGGCCCAUCCCCAGGUAACUGAAGGGCCUGUGAGUGGCCCCACAAGAGUUUCCAAGACCCUGAUCCCACCCCCCAGGCCAGCAGCAGUCUCUGUGGCCAGGCACACUUCUCGUAUUGCCUGCCAGUGUCAACGAGGUGACCUGUACCAAGCACAUGGUGGUAUUAGGAGCUCUGUGCCACCCUCUGAGGGAGAGGACGUACGUGUGCCUGUCUCGCUGAAACUCUUAAGGUCCUGCUGCUGUGGGAAAUGUAAGAGGACCUUGCACGAGAAGUGUCCUUUCCUUCCAAAGUUUUGUGUCUUUCACACCACCCGGAGUGCUAAAUCUAGCAAACUGAAGGGAAGCUGAGGGCAUCGUGGAACCAAAUCUAUCUAUAAAAUUUAUAUGAAAAUGUGUAAGAUAAUAUUUUAUCAAUAUAAAUGUAUAUGUGUUGACUUGAUUUUAUAUAUAAAUAUAUGAAGACAUCUGAGGCAAAUGAUCUGAUAUUUAAAAUUUUUUAAUGGACAUAUAAUAAUUGUACAUAUUCAGGGGUAUAAUGUGGUAUUUUGACACAUGUACAAUGUACAACAAUCAAAUCAAGAUAUUUAGUAUAUAAAUCACCUCAAACAUUUCUUUGUGUUAGGAACAUUAAAAUUUCUCUCUUCUAUAUAAUAUGCAAUAAAUUUGUUUUGAAAUAUAUAAAAUAUUAAUAAAUGAUAGUUGUUUUGCAGUAUACAAUAAGUUAUUAUGAACAAUAGUAGAACCCUACUGUGCUAUAGAACCCUAGAGCUUAAUCCUCCCAUCUAACUAUAUUUAACCAGUCCUUCCCUAAUCUCUCUCCCCCCUACCUUUCCAGCCUCUGGUAUUUUUCUUCUUAAGUGUGAUUUGAUUUGAAUGACUGGGAAAAGUGGC
rnacentral:lncRNA from 1 species